AUGGGUACACGAGGCAAUCACUUGGUAACAUCAGAGGCUGUUGGUUUUAAAACAAAAUUAGACCACAAUCAUGCGACGGUGGCUGGCAUUAGUGGCUCUCCUGGCCGUGGUAGUUGGACCAUCAACAUGUUUUCAGCCACGGAGGAUCAUAGAAAAAAUGCUAGAGCAGUGUUUAUGUCGUGUGCAAACAGACGUGGUUUGUGAAAGUCAGGAUUGGGAGCACACACAAUCUACGAGCCAUCUUUAUACCAGAUUAUAAUUCCACGGACGUUGACUCCCAUGUGAGGUGGAACUCCUGGUUUGAGCCACUGCCAGGCCAAGAUCGAGAUGCAUGUGAUGGAGAGAUUAACUGUCCUGUCGUAGCAGGGGAAGUCACCCGUUUCACUUACGUUCUUGAUAUCCAGGAAUUCUGGCCAGGAAUGAGUAUCCAGUGAUUUGGACACUCACAGACAGAGCAACAGAUGAAAUCCUGGUGUGUUUCAAGUUCAAAAUCAAUAUUGUAUAGCCAGGUUCAGAACCUCUUAAAAAGUUCUAAGGAAUCCGGUAUCCACAGGGUAGUACUGUGAAGGCCCAGGGUAAUAACUUUUUUUAAUUAUCAACAAGACUAUGUUAAGUAUAUCAUAGGAUGCUCAGUAUCAAGAUAUCACCCUUCCCAUUUAGAUGUAGACACCCACUGGAGUUCUUAUUUUUGAAAACUCAGCUGUUAGUUGCAUAACACAAGAUGCCUAUGUUAACAAUGGGAAGGAAUGACGAAGUCGCUAGAUUCCACAAGCCACUCAAGGUUACCACAGCUUAAAUUUAUACAUGUUAGAAGGCCUCCAAGGGUCUGCCAUAACGUAACAAACAUAGACAAUAUCCAUUACCUGAAGAAAUGUGUUUUUAGUGAUGGUGUAAUCCCAAAGCUAAGUAAGAAUGUAGUCUCACUAUCAAAUAGAGCCAUGUUAAUUAACUAAAGAUUAAGGGAAGGCCUACUACCUAAGCUUCUGUCUCAUUGUUACACAAGCUAUGUAAACACUCUAAGGAGCAUAACACUAUUUCCUUAUUAUAUCAAGAGCUGCAUUCAGAUUUGUUCUAAAAUCACCAUUAAGUAAAUGCUCGAGCACUCUCUUCUCUACGUUAUGUGUGUUAAGAUGAGAGCUGUCACUCCCACUGAAAGGGACCAGAUCCUGCCACUGCAAAGUACCUUCGUGCAGAAGUGUACCUCAUCUGACGACCCUCCAAACCCCGCCCAACCCGUCUCAAAAAAGGGGAAAACAUGUAAAAGAGAAAAAAAAUAUAUAUCUAUCUUUCAUGAUCACUUUUUCACUUUUUAGAUUUUUCACUCUUGGUUGUAUAAAGAAAAAUAUAAUUUUUGUCAGGAUAUCUUUUAAUAAACUAAAAGAAAUUUC